AUCCAUCUAAACUUUUACUUCAUUGGAGGGUCCUUCCUGACCCAUGCAACUCAACAAAAAACUCUCACAGUUUUUAUAUGCUUUGUUGGGGAUUAACCCAUCUUGCAUUGCAUUGCUAGCUUAGUAUGUCUAGCAUGGGCAUGCCUGCUGAAGUUUGGAACUUCCCAUCAAGGAAACAGGAAAAUGCCAUUGGCAAUGAGCUGAAGACUGAUUUACUCUACCAGGAGCAGCAGGACAUCUGGGGAUGAGAAGAUGGAGAGAUCAUCCUUAUAUAAUGUUGCAGUCUGGAAGCAUCACUCUCAAAAAGAAGUAACUGGAUAUUUAUGAAGACAGCCUCCAAGACCUUUCAUAUUCCCCCACAUUUGUGUGUAUCCCUGACACAUAAUACUUCAAUUCCCUCAGCCUUAAAAUCAGGUUUUGAUAGACUAGAAAAAUGACAAGACUCCAAGUCCUUGAAGAGGAGGAAAAGUGUGAAGAAAACAAAAAAGGGAGAUUUAUGUCUGCUUCACCAUUUUGCCCAAGACUUGACCUGUCAUACACUGAAGCUCAGAGAGGAAGAAAGGACCGUGUGAGAGAAGAAGGGAACAGCCUUUCAUCCAUAGGAGAAGUUCGUCUAUGACAAAGCCACUAGCUCCAUGUGGCCGCUGAGCACUCAAAAUGUGGCCAGUCUGAAUUGAGAUAUGUUGUUAGUAUAAAGUCCACAUCGGCUUUUUGAGCACUUUGUAUGAGAAAAAAGAAUACCAAAUAUCUCCUUAAUAAUUGUUACAUUGAUUAUAUGUUGAACUGAUAACAUUAUGGAUAUAUUGGAUUAAAUAAAAUAAAUUAUUAAAAUCAAAUAAAAAAUAAAAUCAAUUUCACCUGUUU
rnacentral:lncRNA from 1 species